CCCAAGCUACCCAGAUUCAUACUGUUCAUGGGUUCUCAAAGCAAGAAUUCUGAAGUGGUUUGCCAUUCCCAUCAUCCAGGAUGAGAUGGUUGGAUGACAUCACCGACUUGAUGGACAUGAGUUUGAGCAAGCUCCGGGAGUUGGUGAAGGACAGGGAAGCCUGAUGUGCUGCAGUCCAUGGGGUUGCAAAGAGUCGGGUACGACUGAGUGACUGAACUAACUGACUGACCCAGAUUCAAUUCCUGGGCAGGGAACUAAGAUCUCUCUUUAGGACCGUUCACCGCUGUCUCUCUGAGAUCAAAAUCAUCAGUUUAGAUGGGUACUCAGAUAUUUCAGGUAAAAAACAAAAAACAGUCAACUUUUGAGUAUGCCACCUAAUAUCUGCCCUCACUAGAUACACCGUGUUCGGGCCUCAUCCUUCUGUUAGGUUUUUUUUGUCGCUAUGGGCAACUGGAUCAUGUAGCCCAAAUAUUAAGUGAAUUUCUUAACACAAAUGAUGCACUUUGGAGGUAACCUUUGAGGACUAAACAGAGAAGGACUAAGCUGGGUUAAUUCUGGGCAGAGAGAAGCACGUGUUUUGUGAAGCCAUUCCUGCCUUCUGGAAGGUGACCCUUUUAUUCCCGCUCUACUUUGCACCAAGAUUCCAAGAACCAGGUCUAAAAGGAGAAUGUGGAUUCUGGCUUCCAUGUUCAGGUGACUUUGAGUUUGGGAGAAGACCCAGAAAGAGCCAUGGGAAGUGCAGAAAGUGGGAACUGCUCCUGCUUACCUGGCCAGCUAAGAUGUCCUACUACGGUUAAGACCGAAAUCGCUCAGCAGCCACACGUUUCAAAUUGAGAUGUUUCUACAGAGCUAUGCUGAAGCCCAAUGAGGCACCGGCUUGCAUCUAGAAGUCACUUCUGCAUAUCCUGGGAACACAGAAAUGGUUGGCUGCCAGAGGUGGCAGCACCAACACAGGACUGCUGUCCAGAUCCCGUAACCUGGGACUUGAGAAAUUCCAUCAUGGGCACUCAAGCUUGGUAAACAGCUCCAGCUUUGGAGGCAACAAGGGCAGGUUUGAGUCCCAUAUCUGCCCUUAGCUGUGUGACCUUGAGCAAACCAUUUAAGCUCUUUUGAGUCUGUUUCUUUACCCAUAAUAAUAGUCCCUACAAUAAG
rnacentral:lncRNA from 1 species